UAACGCGAAGAACCUUACCAAGGCUUGACAUAUACCGGAAAGCAUCAGAGAUGGUGCCCCCCUUGUGGUCGGUAUACAGGUGGUGCAUGGCUGUCGUCAGCUCGUGUCGUGAGAUGUUGGGUUAAGUCCCGCAACGAGCGCAACCCUUGUUCUGUGUUGCCAGCAUGCCCUUCGGGGUGAUGGGGACUCACAGGAGACUGCCGGGGUCAACUCGGAGGAAGGUGGGGACGACGUCAAGUCAUCAUGCCCCUUAUGUCUUGGGCUGCACACGUGCUACAAUGGCAGGUACAAUGAGCUGCGAUGCCGCGAGGCGGAGCGAAUCUCAAAAAGCCUGUCUCAGUUCGGAUUGGGGUCUGCAACUCGACCCCAUGAAGUCGGAGUUGCUAGUAAUCGCAGAUCAGCAUUGCUGCGGUGAAUACGUUCCCGGGUCUUGUACAC
rnacentral:rRNA from 1 species